rnacentral:rRNA from 1 species
GACGAAGGGGGCUAGCGUUGCUCGGAAUCACUGGGCGUAAAGGGCGCGUAGGCGGACUCUUAAGUCGGGGGUGAAAGCCCAGGGCUCAACCCUGGAAUUGCCUUCGAUACUGAGAGUCUUGAGUUCGGAAGAGGUUGGUGGAACUGCGAGUGUAGAGGUGAAAUUCGUAGAUAUUCGCAAGAACACCAGUGGCGAAGGCGGCCAACUGGUCCGAUACUGACGCUGAGGCGCGAAAGCGUGGGGAGCAAACAGG